AGGUGAACUACNGUGCAGACUAAGAGAUAGGUGUUCCCUUCGGGGACGCUGAGACAGGUGGUGCAUGGCUGUCGUCAGCUCGUGUCGUGAGAUGUUGGGUUAAGUCCCGCAACGAGCGCAACCCUUGUCAUUAGUUGCCAUCAUUAAGUUGGGCACUCUAAUGAGACUGCCGGUGACAAACCGGAGGAAGGUGGGGAUGACGUCAAGUCAUCAUGCCCCUUAUGACCUGGGCUACACACGUGCUACAAUGGACGGUACAACGAGAAGCGAACCUGCGAAGGCAAGCGGAUCUCUUAAAGCCGUUCUCAGUUCGGACUGUAGGCUGCAACUCGCCUACACGAAGCUGGAAUCGCUAGUAAUCGCGGAUCAGCACGCCGCGGUGAAUACGUUCCCGGGUCUUGUACACCGAGNNNAGANNAAAANNNU
rnacentral:rRNA from 1 species